UUUAGUACCCCGGAAGACCCAUUGUAAAGCUGAAAAAUUGUAGUUGGAACCACUGUAAGUUCAGAUUUUCCUCAUCUUGCACUAGGGUUACAUCCAAGUCUAACCAUCCUAAGUUGGGGACCGUCUCAUACAGUAAUAGGAAAACCAUUUUAUCUUAACAAUUUAUUUAAUUGUUGAUAGUCUACAGGGCUUUGUUUUUUCUCUUGUGAGUAGCAGUUUUAAAAACUAAGAGAUUUGUUGCUACCGAAAAGUUAAAAAUGUUUUUGUAUGUUCACAAAUAUGUUUGUAAUUAUAUGUUUGCAGUGUUGUAAGUUUUUGUUUGUUUUUAAUCUUUUAUAGUAAAUAAUCCUGAUUUUAAGGCUGGUGUGAUGGCUUUGGCUAACCUGCUUCAGAUUCAGCGUCAUGAUGAUUACCUGGUAAUGCUUAAGGCAAUUCGAAUUUUGGUUCAGGAGCGCCUGACACAGGAUGCAGUUGCUAAGGCAAAUCAAACAAAAGAGGUAUGUUUCUAUAAAUCCUAAAUAAGUUGUUAAUGAACAUUUCUUCUGGU
rnacentral:sRNA from 1 species